GCUCAAUCCUGAUAAUACCUAGGAGGCAAUCCCAGACUCCUAGAUGUCCCAAGGCUGCCCUCAGUAUUAUCUUCUUAUUGUCAGUGGUAGGAAUAUUAUAGCCUUGAUGACCACUAUUCAUGUUAAUGACAGUUGUUAUAGCCUUCUUCACCCUGCUGCCUUUUAUCUUUGCUUCCCUGCUUCCCAAGGUCUAAAAAGGCUUGGCUUUAAAAAUAUGACCCUGUGUUUUAGUAUUUUCAAGACUUUUGGCUGUAUCCCCACCACCAUAAUAAACCUAAGAGAAAAUGCUAUAAAAGGCAGAAGAAAAAUAACACUAUCGCCUUCCUUUGGGAUUGUUUGUGGGCCAGUUUGCCCCACAACACGGGCUCCUGGGUUUGACUUCUUCAUUCAUUGAUUCAAUUGCAGAAGGAGAUGACAGAGUCUACCUCCCAGGGAGAAGGAACGGGACACACGGGCCCUGGUCCAGCCUCCAUUCAACCACAAGGCUUACUAUUCACCUACCCCUCAGCAAGCUUGCUUAUCACCAUCUUCCAACUCCUCAACACUGGGCUUGAAUGCGAUCCUACAGUAGGACCCCCAUCUCCCACCCAAUUCCACAUCCCAAGAGGCUGGCAUGCCCUGCCAUCUCCCCUCCCCAGCCCCACUGUGUGCUGGUGCAUUUGCUUUGAUGAUGGUAAUAUUCCGUCACUUGGUGACCCCAUUCCUGAGGCUGAGCUCCUGAGAGCAUCCCAGCCCCAAAUCCCCAAGGUCUAGGCCACGUUGAGGGCGUCCCAAUGUCAGUGCUCCGUGAUCCCACCUAAUAGAUCCUCCUCCAAUUCUUAUCUAGAUCUAAACAUACCCUCCACCAUCUGCCUGCAGGAGAAACAAAAUAUCUUGAAUUCUGCUACUUGCCCAGAAUUUUCAUCUGCUGACCUCUCUUGGAUGGUUGCACGGAGCAAGGUAGAAACUUUUACCUCUUCCCCUUGAAAUGUAAGCCAAGGCUGAGCCAAGUCAGCCCCAAAGGUUAUUUUCUUCUGAACCCUUCCUGGUCCCGCUUGGUCCCCCAGGGCUGAGAACACCCUCCUGUCGGGCAGAAGCUUUCCAACCCAGGUCUCCCUGACCAAGGUAAGAGGAGACAAGACAAGGAGGACGCUCUGCCUGGUGAGAUCAGGCUUUAAGCCUGUUUGCUCCUCUUACCUGCCGACCCCUUGAAAUGCCAAGCAGAGCUCCUCUCUGAGGGCGGAUGAUUGAAGCGGUGGGGUGAUGGGGUGGGGAGGGAGCCUGGGCGGGUUCAGCCUCACUCAGUACACAUUCUGAGUUUAGCUAAAAUAGUCAUGAAGUUUUCACAAGGCUCAGAAACAAUGCAAUGGAAAUCGCCCCCAGCCUCAUCCUUGGGGGUCCCAAGUAUCCAUGGUGAUAAGACAGCUUGAACCCUCCUCCUGCUCUCCAGGGUGGUCUGAUAGUGGAUGUUCUUAGAACAGGGGUCUGAAUAUUUUUGACUUUCUGUCUGCAUGACCUUGGGGAGAUCAGUGAGUGUCUCUGAGCCUCAGUUUCUUCAUAUGUUGAAUGAGGUUGGUGACAGCUGCCUUAUCUACCUCCAGGAUUGUUAUGAAGUUCAAAGGCAAUAAUAUAUACAAGAGCACUUUCAAAAAUUUGAGGAAUAGAGAGAAAAACAACAACAACAAUAACAACAACAACACUGGGAAAUGAACCAGGUUUUGCUUCCUAUUAUUCCCCUAAAACCCCCAAAACAAGAUUACUAAAGAACGUGUAGCCUGGGCUGGGUGCGGUGGCUCAUGCCUGUGAUCUCAGCACUUUGGGAGACCAAGGCGGGUGGAUCACCUGAGGUCAGGAGUUCAAGACCAGCCUGGCCAACAUGGUGAAACCCUGUCUCUAUUAAAAAUACAAAAAUUAGCCAGGCAUGGCGGCGCAUGCCUGUAAUCCGAACUAUUUGGGAGACUGAGGCAGGAGAAUUGUUUGAACCAGGGAGGCAAAGGUUGCAGUGAGCCAGCCAAGAUCACGCCACUGCACUCCAGCCUGUGUGAGAGAGCAAGCGAGACUCCGUUUCCAAAAAAAAAAA
ensembl:lncRNA